CCAGCAUCCCAGAGUUGCCUUUUCACUGUUGACGUUGAGACUGGUAUAUAAAAAAAACACAAAUUGUGGACCUAAGAAUGGUUAGUACAGCAUGCCAAACUGACCCCUUGGUGCCAGUGUUCCUGUGCUGCGGUGGAGAAGAGGUCUACCGGGACCAUCAUUAAAGAGUUCAGGGCCCAGCUAGAUUGCGCUCACGAUCAUCAGUAUACAACCGAGUCCUGCCCCUAUAACACAGAUGGAGCUGACAGAGAGUGAGAUCAAUGAAGACCAUAACUCACUGUAUGAACCUGAGGGCUCAGAAUCACAAUCAUCACAGUGCGAGCCAAGAUAUACUAUCGAUCAGCGGGAUGGUGUUCCGAAAAUAAAGAAGGAACUGGCCAUUCAACAGCGAAUUCAAAGAUACACCCAUCCAUAAAGGGAAUCGGAGUGGAAUUGUUUUUCCACUGAUUUAUUUUUCUUUUCAAUGGAUGUGUUACCUUGUCCCGGUUCUGCUGUUUCAACUCUCUCUCUCUCUCAACCUAUUAAUGCUCAGCAGUGAAAAGCCAACUGACAUUUGCUCCUGAGGUGUUGAACUGUUUCGCCCUCUAUAACCACUGUGGUUAUUAUUUUGAUGUAAAAAGGACUUUGUAAAAUAUCUUUGAUUGUUUGCUGUGCUGGAUGCUGUGUAUUCACUGAGUGAUGGGACAUUUUUAUAGUAUCUGUAACAUAUUUGGGGUUUAUUUAUUCUGCAUCUUAACUUCUUAAAGUGGUAAUCAGCAGUAGAAACAAUAACAAAGUGACUCCCUGCUCCUCUUUUGGUAAAAAGCUGAUGGAUGAGGCUGGAGAAAUGUAACCACUCUCAAAUUCAAAGACAGAGCUAUAGAUGCUAAGACUGACCAUCCAUGAUAUCAAAAUUGUAAUCCUGUUUCUAUGAUCUGUUUCCACUACCAUGUACCCAGUUCGCUUUGGAUAAAGGCGUCUGCUAAAUGGCAUAUAUUAUUAAAGUCUGCUUUGACUCUGACUAGCUGCC
rnacentral:lncRNA from 1 species